AUCGAAUGCAUCUGAAAUGCGUUCCGAGAUAGAUUCGGCGACAGAAUGCGGAGCAAGGCUUUUCACAUCCGAUAUGCGACCACGUCCGCGUGCAUGCGUUCAAUGUUAACCGUGAGAACGUACUCUCGAAGGUAACACGCACGCCUAAAACAAAAUCGUAAUGCUUUGUCUGCGAGUAUUGGUAAUUAGGAUCGAUCAUCUUCGAUGUCACUUUUCUGCUUUCGAAUGAAAAAUGAUUUAGGAAGACCAUGAACAAUUCUACUGUUGCUUUGAUUAUUUGUAUAUUAUAGUAUUUAAGGUGGUAAAUGCUACAAGGUGCGUUAAAAUAUAUAAUAGAAUAUCGAAUACACACGAUAAGAUAGCUACAAGAUUAAUAAAUAAUAGAACAAUUAGAAUUUUUGUUUAUCUGGAACAAAAUGUAUAGAACAUUGAUGCGUGUUAUAAUUAAAUAUUAACAGUUUCGCUGCGGAUGACACACAUGUGCGUUCAACUGAAAAUAUAUGGUUGUUUUUAUUACUUUUCAGUUUUCAUUUUUUUUGUUCGGCAAUCAUAUUAUAUAUGAAAUAAGUUACCACAAAUAUAUGUUUUUCAAAAUGAUCAUAUUAGAAGAUUUGUAAGAAAUUUUUCAUUAAAAAGAAUAUCAUAAUUGCAGCACCCAGCGAACGGCUACUUAUUUUCGUCCGCAAUGGAAGUGUUAAUAUUAAGGUGGUAAAUACAUAAUGUAUUAAAAUAUAUAAUAGAAUAUUGAAUACGUUCCACGACAAGAUAGCUACAAGAUUGAUAGAUAAUAGAACAAUUAGAAUUUUUGUUUAUCUCGAACAAAAUGAAUAGAAUAUUGAUACCUGUUAUAAUUAAAUAUUAAAGCUUCUAGAUAAGACUCCAAAUUAUAAUACGUAGGAUUAAUAACGCUUCAAAUUUAAUUUACAAAGUUCACCAAGUUUUCUCCAACUAACAGGUCAACCUUUCUCUUCGUUCGGAUACCAGACCGUAAUUACAUAAAGGGGGUACUUUAAUAUACCUAAUCAGACCAGUUCUUGCUUUCCACCAUAAUUAUUCGAUGAAGCUAUACUAUGAUAGAUUGAUAACCAGAUGGAAGUCCCACUCAUCUGUCUUAAUAAAACCGUAUUAUAAUAAUUGACAUUCCAACGGGAUAUUUAAUACCGUGUAAUGAUAUUGCGUUUAAAUAUUUAAUGCGUUAAAAUAACGCGAAACAGUGGCAGUCGCGGAAUAAUGAGCGGAAUUGAACGGGGAACAGAUCGCGGAAUUCCAUUCGUGCGGUUCCAGCGGUCCGAAUCGCGCGGAUUCCGGGGAUUUUUGGUUCUCCGACUUCCGUUAGAUAUUUACACGAACGAUUCUUUGGUAUUCCACUUCCUCUGUAUAAUUAUAUUCACCCCUAACCCUCGCGGGAAUUCCAUUGGUCCGUUCGAACGAUUUUUGGCCGCCCCUUAGGGUUAGGUUUGGGUUAGAGUGGCUACCAUUCUUUCUUAAAUGGAAGUCUAAACACAUGCUCGUACUUUAGUAUUAAUUACUAACAUUCCUGUCGUGUUCUUUCAAAAGAGGCUUGUAUAUACAUAUACAUUAAUAACUACCAUUUUAGAUAACUAGUAAAUUUAAAUAUAUUUUAUCCUCUGGAUGUUUAACAUGGAUUCCAUUUUUAUAUUUUAUAUAUUCAUGCAUUUGUACAGAUCCUUAAAUAUUGGAAAAUAUUUACACUCGUCAUCGAUGCAUAAAUAUCUUCAGUCUAAUGAUAACCUUCCAAAAAUCUGCCCCUGAGAAGUCUUCCUAACAUUCCCUCAAAAAGACCCACCUCUUCUCUGAUCAUUUUCUCAUUCUAAACCCCUCUCAUCAAAAUCUAAAUUUAAAUAUAUUUUAUCCUCUGGAUGUUUAACAUGCAUUCUAUUUUCAUAUUUUAUAUAUUCAUGCAUUUGUACAGAUCCUUAAAUAUUGGAAAAUAUUUACACUCGUCAUCGAUGCAUAAAUAUCUUCAGUCUAAUGAUAACCUUCCAAAAAUCUUCCCCUGAAAACUCUUCCUAACACUCCCUCAAAAAGACCCACCUCUUCUCUCAUCAUUUUCUCAUUCUAAACCCCUCCCAUCAAAAUUUAAAUAAUCGCGCAUACUACCAACCCCAAAUCACACGCCAAUUUCGUUUAUGAUUGAUACAAAUCGCCAAUGAGCGUUUAAUAGGACCAGGAGAAUAGUCAGACGCAUUCAUCACAUCGUUUCGUCUCUUCCAUCUCCAUGAUCGAUUGUCAAACGUAUCUCGACGCUUUUGUGCCGCGAGCAUCGAUUCACGCGAUCGACUCAUUCACCAAUCGUAAAACUUCUCACGAUUCUCGGCGUUGUUCCGAUAGAAAAAGUUACCCAUUGAUCGUUUUGCUGUCGCGCAAGCGCUGACAAUGGUUCUUUCUUUCUUCGAUCAUUCAUGACCGGAAGUUCGCGUCCAUUAUCAGGAACCACGACGAACUGCUUCCAGGUAUCGUUGACGAUAUAUUCGAGCCAACAAAGGGACGGAAAAUAAAAUUCCACGCGCGUCACGGUUGCGGUUUAUAAGCGGACGACAUGUGAACGCGUCUCGCGUGACUCUUUGUCCGGCUUCGACCAUGGGGGCUCGCGAGGCCGAGUCCUCCUCUUCCCUCGAGAUUUGGAUCUUGUUUCAUCUUCGUGGACAAACGUGUCGCAAUUACAGGAAUUACGGUAAGCCUCCUCUCGUUGAUCCGGAUGCUGCGUUAGCUGAUAGAGUUCCAGUUUUAAACCCCUUUGAAGAGGGAGUAUCGACUCCAUUCUGUAGAGAUAAAUUUAUAUUGUAAGGGUACAUUUAGGUGGUCCAUUGUUUGUUCAUAAUUUUUCAGAGGGAAUUUACGAUUCCUUGUUCAUUUCUCCCUGUACAACAUUGUAUGUAUUCUUUAAGAAUUUUUUAUAUCCAACAUGAAUCAAAACUGAUUUUUUACAUUGUGAUACUUAAUAAAUUCCUUGCAUACAGGAUCAUUGUACGGGAAUAAGAAACUUAUGUAAAUGGUUGAGCAAUUGAAUGUCAAUGCUGCAGACCUAACCCACUGCACUUCUUGACACUGCUUGAUUCGUCUGCUUAUCACGUCCUCCAUACAAGGAACAGGUCACUCGUGAAUCUCCGAUCCCCCUACCCCUGGAAAUACAUUGAUAGCCCCGUGCAGAUGGAAGGUCAACAAAAUAAGUGCAACAAGCCUGUGGAAUGCAGUCGAGCGAAGAGUAACUCGAAGAAAUUCGAGAAAAACUCGGCCAGAGAAACUUUUAUUUCUGGCCUAUGGAGAAUCAGACGUGCAAAAGUAUCUUCAAUGAACAUGGCUACCUACUUCAAUUUGUACUUGACGAAUUCCUUUGUAAAAAAUAAAGAAACUUUCACGCGAUCCUCUACAAGUUCAUUUAUUUUGAAUAUC